AAAGUUUCACCGGAAAGAUUCUGACGAAACGAGAAAAGUGAAAUUCUCCGAAGAAGAAAAAAAGAGCAGACAUGGAGCGAGAGCACGCACGUCACAGUGGCUCACGACUUGACCUUUAAACAUCCUGCUUCCUCUACCACGAUGCGAGUAAGACACCUCGAAAUCAAAGCUCAUAUCACUAUCAUACAUCCAAUUGAUCACUUUCGUAAGAAAUACUUUGCGCCCGAAGCAUUUACAUUUGAAACAUUUUAGACCACACGGCUCCAACAUCAGCCCUGGUAAACGGCCAGAACAAAUGUAGAAAAGAAAGAGAAAAUGACAGCAGAUGGUCGAUUGUCAGGGCAGUCAGUACUUUUGGACAGACACGCCGCUGGCGGUCUGGUCUCAACCAAUUCCUCCCUCCCUCCCUCCCUCCCUCGGGGGGGGGGGGGGGGGGGGACUUUAAAAGCUCUUUAAUGCUAUUGUACACAGGCAUCUGACACAAAUGACAGUGUGCUGCGUUAUAUAAUCACAGUUUAGAGAGAAGAGAAGUCCGCAUGAAGAGGAUGUAGGCCAAGAUAAGCAUUGCAACCUCUCUGAUUUAAUCCACUCCAAAAUAUAUUGCAAUCCAUUUUGGAUUGGGAACAAAUACAUUCUGUAAUUCCUAUUCGGAGCCAACCUGCUGCAUUUUGGCCCAAUUGGAUGGAUGUCACGCUGAUGGAGCUUUCCAGGGGAAAGAAAUGAAUUGUCAAGAUCAAAAGACACGACUUGGAAAUUGAAAUGAAACACUGACGGAAAAUGAUGCAAACCACACCGCUGUGUAUUUUGCGCAAAAUUCCCAAUAAAAGUCAAACGCAUCCUGUUUGUUUGCUUCUUAAAUGUCACUGUGGCAGCAGCUGCUGCUUCCUGUCGAUGCAGAGAGUUGGUGUGAGAUUACAACCGUCACGUUAUUUUACCGAUACAAUAUUGCACAACUAUUGGAAGUAAGUUCCAGUGUUCAAGUGCAGCCCAACAUUGAAUUCACUACAUCAUGAUAAGAACUAUGUCGCCAUGGUCCUAUUUUGUGUCAUAAUACAGUGCCUUGCAAUGUUGGGAAAUACUACAAAUGACUAGCGCCCCUUAUUCGGGUGAACAUCAUCAUCCCUUGCCUGCUCUGCAUGUUACCAAAAAUAGAACGCUGCACAAGUAGAACACCGACGCGGGAUAGAAAUAGAAUAAAAGAGAAAAAGAGACAGAAUGUGAUAGAUAAUAUUGCCACAUGGGAGAAGACCAGCGGGUUACAAAGCCUUCUAAAAGUGUCUUCACUCAGCUAUACUGUUCACUCAAGUCAAACGGUGCAUGCAAAGGGCCUUCGCAUCGGUCCGACCAAAUUCCAACAAUGUCCCGGCUAGUUCUGCCCAAACCAUAUCGUCGUCAUACACGACGGAGCGUGAAUUUAUGUUCAUGCUUAUUCUGGUUAUGAGAAUAUUAUUUUGUGCAGCAGCAUAAUCAUACACGAUGGCACGCUUGCUCUCAUUGGCUUCACGUUCCAGUGCAAUCACGGACAGAAUACAAACGGCGAAGCAACACAUGCAGACAGACAAUAUAACAGUGCUCACCGCUGCAUCGUUUGGAUCCUCCAUACGGGAAAUCUACGGGGAGCGGAAACAUCUGAAUGAACAGUGGCUCUCUUUGACACUGUCUGCAGAUGGCGAGCAAGCACAUAGAGCAGCGCUAUGACAAUUCACUUGCUGCACUAUGACCAAAAACUGUCAAGACUCGAUGCUCCCUAUAAAGUAUUUUAUUAGGAGUGAUGUUUUUCGGGUCAUCACUGAAUGCAUUUCUACAAUGUGUGCAAUUUAAGACGUCUUAGUAGUAAGCUAGUAAACAUGUCACUGUUGCUUAAGCGCUUCAACUCAAUUCCUUCGACACACUGAUUUUCAAACACAUAAAUAAAGGUACUCGCAGUUUGAUUGUGCCAGGGCACCUGCCCAAACU